UACAGAGGUGGCAAGCGUUGUUCGGAAUUACUGGGCGUAAAGGGCGCGUAGGUGGCCUUCUUAGUCAGACGUGAAAUCCCCAGGCUUAACUGGGGAACUGCGUCUGAUACUGGUUGGCUUGAAUCCGGGAGAGGGAUGUGGAAUUCCAGGUGUAGCGGUGAAAUGCGUAGAUAUCUGGAGGAACACCGGUGGCGAAGGCGACAUCCUGGACCGGUAUUGACGCUGAGGCGCGAAAGCCAGGGGGAGCAAACGGG
rnacentral:rRNA from 1 species